UACGAAAGGUGCAAGCGUUACUCGGAAUCACUGGGCGUAAAGCGCGCGUAGGCGGACUCGUAGGUCAAUUGUGAAAUCCCGGGGCUCAACCUCGGAACUGCCUUGAUACAGCACGUCUCGAGUCCGGAAGAGGUGGGUGGAAUUCCUAGUGUAGAGGUGAAAUUCGUAGAUAUUAGGAAGAACACCGGUGGCGAAGGCGGCCCACUGGUCCGGUACUGACGCUGAGGUGCGAAAGCGUGGGGAGC
rnacentral:rRNA from 1 species